rnacentral:rRNA from 1 species
GACGAACGCUGGCGGCGUGCCUAAUACAUGCAAGUAGGACGCAGUUGUGAACGGGUGAGUAAUGCCUUGGUAACUGCCUAUUAGAGGGGGAUAAAUAUUGGAAACGAUAGCUAAUAGCGCAUUCUAGUAGAUGGUCUUGCGGUGUAUUAGCUAGUAGGUAGGGUAAUGGCCUAACAAGGCGACGCUAAAUAGCCGACCCGGGAGGGUGGUCGGCCACACUGGGACUGGGGCACGGCCCAGACUCCUACGGGAGGCAGCAGUAGGGAAUCUUCGGAAAUUGGGGGAAGCCUGACCGAGCAACGCCGCGUGAGUGAAGAAGGUUUUCGGAUCGUAAAGCUCUGUUGUUAAGGAAGCGGUACUUAACCAGAAAGGGACGGCUAACUACGUGCCAGCAGCCGCGGUAAUAC